rnacentral:rRNA from 1 species
UACGAACCGAGCGAACGUUGUUCGGAAUCACUGGGCUUAAAGGGCGCGUAGGCGGGCCGCCAAGUUCGAGGUGAAAUCCUCCGGCUCAACCGGAGAACUGCCUCGAAUACUGGAGGCCUCGAGGCGGGUAGGGGCAUGCGGAACUGUGGGUGGAGCGGUGAAAUGCGUUGAUAUCCACAGGAACUCCGGUGGCGAAGGCGGCAUGCUGGACCCGAUCUGACGCUGAGGCGCGAAAGCCAGGGGAGCAAACGGG